rnacentral:tRNA from 1 species
GGGCCCGUGGCGCAGCUGGGAGCGCGCCUCCAUGGCAUGGAGGAGGUCGUCGGUUCGAAUCCGAUCGGGUCCA